rnacentral:lncRNA from 1 species
AGGUAUUUGUACAAAAAUAAACACACAGUUACAAUCAGAGCCAAUCCUAGAAUAUUUAAAACCAUAAGCAAAAAACAAAAAAGUGGCUGGAACUGUACCAACUAAUGGUUGAAGCUGUGAUCUGAGGAAGGUGAAAUGAGUGAGCAUUGCCACUAGAGACUAAAGAGGAUACACGGAUUAUGUGGCCGAAAAGUAUUUGUCACAAAAUAAACGGCCACAAGCAAUUGCUUCAUUCGCUUGAUGCUAGAUUCUACAAGCAAGUCUUUGCUGUUAUAUCUUUCAAAACUGGAGUUUCUACAAUUUCAAAGCAACUUUCUACAACUUCAUAGCAACUGAUUCUACUACUACUGUUACAAGGCUAAAAGAAAACUAUUGUAUCCUCAAGAUCACGGUUGCUGCUGGUAUCGAUUGAAUAUGAAUCUCUUAGCUUGCAACCUCCUGAAAAGCAGUGAAUGUCUUAAAACAUGUUGAAUAUCCCUUCACGCCAUCCAAACCAUGCCCCAUGAACAAUGCCAUCUUUCACGUCUCCUUGCCCUGAAAAAUCCAACACUACAAGUUUCUGAUUCCACGUGAUAAAAAGAAGAAGUCGAGAAGCAGGAGAGGAAGGAUCAGUGUGUAUCACCUUCAACCGAAGACCAACACACAACUGAAGGGACACUGUCGGAGAAUUUAUUUUCAGACAGAAGUUGGCCAGAUUUGAUACACCAAACGCGAGUGUGGCAGUCAUCUCCUCCUGAAAACAGACAUACAAAGAACCAAAAAAAAACUAAAGUCAUAACACUGAAACCAAACUCGUAAUGAUUUUUCAAGCUAAAUUAUUAUUAAACAAUUAUUGGAACUUGAUUUUUUCAACGCUUUUUUUAAUAUUAGUUAUUGUUCUCGUUUGUAGUGUUACUGAUGAGUGAUGAGAAUGGACAUGUAAUGAUAAAGUUCUUUAAUUUUAUGUAACUGUAAAUUAAUAAUCUUAAGCUCUUAAACCCGUUAUGAUAAUGUCUACAACAUUUUUAUAGUAUUUGUUUUUCAAUCAGUAUUUAAUAAUUUAAUGAAUCCUAAAAAUCAAAAUUACACCACCUUUUAUUUAUUUUUCUUAAAACAACUAUUAAAAUGAUUUAAAAGUUGUAGUAGGUAUUUCUACAAAAAAAACAUACAGUUACAAUCAGAGCUGGUCCUAGAAUAUUUAAGACCAUAAGCAAAAGACAGAAAAGUGGCUGGAACUGUACCAACUAAUGGUUGAAGCUAUGAUCUGAGGAAGGUGAAAUGAGUGAGCAUUGCCACUAGAGACUAAAGAGGAUACACGGAUUAUGUGGCCGAAAAGUAUUUGUCACAAAAUAAACGGCCACAAGCAAUUGCUUCAUUCGCUUGAUGCUAGAUUCCACAAGCAAGUCUUUGCUGUUAUAUCUUUCAAAACUGGAGUUUCUACAAUUUCAAAGCAACUUUCUACAACUUCAUAGCAACUGAUUCUACUACUACUGUUACAAGGCUAAAAGAAAACUAUUGUAUCCUCAAGAUCACGGUUGCUGCUGGUAUCGAUUGAAUAUGAAUCUCUUAGCUUGCA